GACAGAGGGUGCAAACGUUGUUCGGAUUUACUGGGCGUAAAGCGCGUGUAGGCGGCUUUGCAAGUCGGAUGUGAAAGCCCACGGCUCAACCGUGGAAGUGCAUCCGAAACUGCAUGGCUUGAGUCUCGGAAAGGAAGGUGGAAUGCUUGGUGUAGAGGUGAAAUUCGUAGAUAUCAAGCAGAACACCUGCGGCGAAGGCGGCCUUCUGGACGAUGACUGACGCUGAGACGCGAAAGCGUGGGGAGCAAACAGG
rnacentral:rRNA from 1 species